AUUGAACGCUGGCGGCAUGCUUUACACAUGCAAGUCGAACGGCAGCGCGGGCUUCGGCCUGGCGGCGAGUGGCGAACGGGUGAGUAAUACAUCGGAACGUGCCCAGUAGUGGGGGAUAGCUCGGCGAAAGCCGGAUUAAUACCGAAUACGACCUGAGGGUGAAAGCGGGGGAUCUUCGGACCUCGCGCUAUUUGAGCGGCCGAUGGCAGAUUAGCUAGUUGGUGGGGUAAAGGCCUACCAAGGCGACGAUCUGUAGCUGGUCUGAGAGGACGACCAGCCACACUGGGACUGAGACACGGCCCAGACUCCUACGGGAGGCAGCAGUGGGGAAUUUUGGACAAUGGGCGAAAGCCUGAUCCAGCAAUGCCGCGUGUGUGAUGAAGGCCUUCGGGUUGUAAAGCACUUUUGGCGGGAACGAAAAGGACUGUGCCAAUACCACGGUUCGAUGACGGUACCCGCAGAAUAAGCACCGGCUAACUACGUGC
rnacentral:rRNA from 1 species